rnacentral:rRNA from 1 species
CCAGCAGCUGCGGUAAUUCCGGCUCUAAUAGCGUAUAUUAAAGUUGUUGCAGUUAAAAAGCUCGUAGUCGGAUGUCGGGCUCGGGCAGGCUGUCGGCUUCGGUCGGACGGCAGGCUCGGGUCUUUCUGCCUGAGGAACCCGUGGCACUUAACUGUGCGGCGUGGGGAUUAGGCCGUUUACUUUGAAAAAAUUAGAGUGUUCAAAGCAGGCCAACGCUUGAAUACAUUAGCAUGGAAUAAUGGAAUAGGACUUUGGUGCUAUUUCGUUGGUUUAUGGGACCGAAGUAAUGAUUAAUAGGGACAGUUGGGGCCGUUUAUAUUCCGUUGUCAGAGGUGAAAUUCUUGGAUUUACGGAAGAUAAACUUCUGCGAAAGCAUUCGGCAAGGAUGUUUUCAUUGAUCAAGAACGAAAAU